GAUGAACGCUGGCGGCGUGCUUAAUACAUGCAAGUCGAGCGAAGCGGGUACGGGUGAGUAACACGUGGAUCACCUCCUAUAAGACUGGGAUAAGUUCGGGCAACCGGUGCUAAACCUGAUACUUACAGAUUGACCCGCGCUGCAUUAGCUAGUUGGUAAGGUAACGGCUUACCAAGGCAACGAUGGAUAGCCGACCGGAGAGGGUGGUCGGCCACCUUGGAAGUGAGACACGGACCAUACGCCUGCGAGAGGCAGCAGUAGGGAACCUUCGGCAAUGGGCGAGAGCCUGACGCAGAGAGGCAGCGUGAGAGACGAAAGCGUUCGGUGCGUAAAGCUCGGCUACGAGGGAAGCGGUACCUAAAGAAAAAGCAACGGCUAACUACGUGCCAGCAGCCGCGGUAAUAC
rnacentral:rRNA from 1 species